rnacentral:misc_RNA from 1 species
CCCCUGUCCUUAGAACACGAAAGAAGGCAUGAUAAGUUUGUAUAGUUGGAGUGUGGCCACGCUGUAACAUCUCAUCAAAGACUCCUCUGGCCUCAUCUACUUUUCUUGCCUUGCAUAAAGGUUUGAUCAGUGAAUUGUAAGUGACAGUAUUAGGUGCAAUACCUUUAUCUUCCAUUGUUUUCAUGAGAUUGAUAGCUUCCUUCACGUGUCCAGCUUUUGCAAGAGCAUGGAUUACAGCAUUGUAAACUUUCCUAU